rnacentral:rRNA from 1 species
GGGUGCGAUCAUACCAGCACUAAUGCACCGGAUCCCAUCAGAACUCCGAAGUUAAGCAUGCUUGGGCGAGAGUAGUACUAGGAUGGGUGACCUCCUGGGAAGUCCUCGUGUUGCACCCC